CAGUACUGCCAGUGGGGAGGAAGAAAUCAAAAAUGAGCAAGCAGACUCUGCAAUUUGGAAAUGUACAAAUAUUAAAAAAAAAAAAAAAAAAAAAAAAAAAGGUCUGCAGAGAAUGAUUUACUUUUCAUAACAGUUUUCUUCAGAUCUGGGUUAAACUAAGGCAGUGGGAGAAAAGCUGGGACAGUCUUUUCUUGCUUUUAACACAUUAGAAGAGCGCCUGGAGGCCCUCAUCAGAACUAAUUAGCUGGACAACUCCAACUUUAAGAAAUUCAAUGAGAGACAAGCUUAGCUAUCCAAACACACUCCAUACCAUCACCAAGCCAACAGUACCCAGAGGGCACAGGACGUUAGACGGAGGACAGCACUGCAUCCGUAUUUGUCUUCCUAUCACAAAAUCACACUCAAGAGCAGAAGAGGUACAUGACAAACACAUGCAUUCUACAUCAAACUGGACUAAGAAGUUGUAUGCAAAGUCAUUUCAAAUUUCUGUCAUUAAAAGGAAAGAAAGAAAGAAAAAGACCAAACAAAACUACAGCUUUCGGGACUGACAGUCUCAGACUUCUCAGACAACUCCAAGUCUUGUCUCAGAGGAAUUUUCUGAUUCAUAAUGAGCAGCUCCGGUGUUAGUGUCAAUCUUAUUCCUUAGGUAACUUUGCUUAGAAGGGCUGCAGACAUAAAAUAACAAAUGAAUUUGGUAAAACUAAGUCCUGCCUGUGUAUUUGCUAUACUUCACUGCCUUAUCCCAGUUUCUCUUCUCCACUUUCAUUCCAUGUUAGUAUGCCCCAGCUCAGGGAAAUAUCACUGAAAGUGAUUAUUGAUUUUUUUAACACCAAAAAUGCCAUAUCUUUAUCAUAUUUUGACAUUUUCUUGAUAAAUGAGUUGACAGUGCUAACCAGACACUGCUAUUUAACCUUCUGUGUGCACAGAAAGACUAUGAGCUGCUGCUGGAUUUCCCAAAGGCCAAGCAGACGGGCAUGAAGAAAGCAGCCCAUGACUGGGGGGAGCCUCAGCGAGACCACAUCGGACAGACAAGGCAGAGAUACCACGCCUCUGUACAAGAAACAAGAAAACAAGAAGAUAAACUUCUGUUAGAAGAUUUUGUUAAUUCAUGCACCAGUACAGGCUUGGAGUGGAUGGCUGGAGAAGAGUUUCGCAGAAAAGGACCUCUGGACCUGGUGGACAGAAAGCUGAUCGUGAACCAUCAAGGUGUCCUCGUGGCAAAGAAGGCCACCAGCCUCCUGGGCCGCAUUAGGCAAAGUACGGCCAGCAGGAUAAUGGGGGUGAUCCUUUCCGUCUACUCAGGACAAGCAGGACGGUUUUGUAUUUGGUAACCAACCACUGAGAAAAACAGUAAUGGGAGUUCUACUUCAGAAGAACAUUAGCUCCCACACUCUUCUUUCUACCAAGGAAGUCAAUAGGACCCUUACCUAAACAG
rnacentral:lncRNA from 1 species